rnacentral:rRNA from 1 species
UACGAGGGGUGACAAGCGUUGCUCGGAAUCAUUGGGUCGGUAAAGCGAGCGGCGGAUGGUCUUGUAAGUCGAGGAGAUGAAGCCCGUGGGCUCAACCCAGGAAGUGACUUUUGAGUACUGGCGAGACUUGAAUGGUGGGAGAGGGUGCUAGAAUACCUAGUGUAGUGGUGAAAUAUGUAGAGUAAUUAGGUGGAACACCGGUGGGAAGCCGGGAUGCCUGGC